AAGGCAACGAGCAUACCUUCCUUCAACUGGAAGCCCAGCUUCCCUCCCUCCUCUCCCCAUUGGCUGGGUACUGCAAUUAUCCCGCCCCCGGAAAUAUCCUGCCUCCCAGGCGGGGGCUCCCAUUCCCGCCCCCGCUGCCCAGGGUCGCUCCUGCUGCCAGGAUUUUGGGUGAGGAAGACGAUGGUCAGAAUUCUACGGAGCCAUCUGUGAAUUCAUUGGGAAGAACAAAGAAACAGUUUAAAUGCAAGGAAUGUGGAAUGUGCUUUAGACC